GACGUAGGGGGCCAGCGUUGGUUCGGAAUUACUGGGUGUAAAGGGUUCGUAGGCGGUGUGGCAAGUCGGGAGUGAAAUCUCUGGGCUCAACUCAGAGACUGCUUCCGAAACUGCUGUGCUUGAGUGUGGGAGAGGCGCGUGGAAUUGCAGGUGUAGCGGUGAAAUGCGUAGAUAUCAGGAGGAACACCAAUGGCGAAGGCAGCUCGCUGGGACGUGACUGACGCUGAGACGCGAAAAGCGUGGGGAGCAAACAGG
rnacentral:rRNA from 1 species